rnacentral:rRNA from 1 species
GGCAUGUAUGAAGGUGCUGCAUGGUUGUCGUCAGCUCGUGCCGUGAGGUGUCGGCUUAAGUGCCAUAACGAGCGCAACCCUUGCUGUCAGUUACUAACAGGUUAAGCUGAGGACUCUGACGGGACUGCCAUCGUAAGAUGUGAGGAAGGUGGGGACGACGUCAAAUCAUCAUGCCCCUUAUGAUUUGGGCUACACACGUGCUACAAUGGACAGGUUACAAAGGGCAGCAACGCCGCGAGGCCAAGCGAAUCCCAUAAAACUGUUCUCAGUUCGGAUUGGAGUCUGCAACUCGACUCCAUGAAGCUGGAAUCGCUAGUAAUCGUAGAUCAGCAUGCUACGGUGAAUACGUUCCCGGGUCUUGUACAC